AGCAGUGGGUUGGAUCCGGGCUCGGGCGGAGGCAGCGGCGGGAGCUGCGGAGUCCUCCGUGCUGGCAGGAAGCCACCCGGCAUCAGCGAACCUCGGGGACCUCAGUGUGCAUCUCGGGUCCUGAUGCUGUUUAAACAGCGGCCUAAGGACCAGGAAGGGUAGUAGGCGGUCGACUGGGUUCCACUUCUGGAGGCUGCGCAGUAGCUACAGAGCUGCUCAGAAACCGAGUGCAAAGCUUCACAGCGAGCUCUUUUCCGCUGUGGCUGAGACAGGAAGCAGGGAGACUAAAGGGAGCUUUAGUCUUACUACACAAAUAUAAAAUAACUGUAAAGCCUAGCUCCAAAAGGAUCGUGCUCCAGCCCGGUGUCUCAUUAUGGCUCUGCAUUAAGCAUAAAUGUUGCUGAACAGAAGCCAAAUCCUCACAAGGAGCCACAGAGCGGCCAUCAUGGACAGACAGCUGGUGCUGCAGACCUGCUGUGGGUACCGAUCCAGCCGCCCAGGAGCAUCGUCCACAAUGAUCUUAUUGAUCUUAAUUGCAAGGUGGAGAGUCCAAGGCCCAAGUUCGGUGAAGUUUCAUGCAGAUGCGAGCAGAUGACAGGACGGAGGAAAUGUGAACUGAGGGGGCCUGGGGCCCCUCCCUCUGAGCUGAAACCAAAAUGAAGAAUUGCUGAAAGCUAGUCAGAUGGUAACAAAUUCAACGGACUGGUCACAGCCAGUGUUGACGGGAAUAUGGAAAAAUGGAUACUUCUGUUUUUUUUUUAAUUAUUCAAUUAUUUUAUAACGCAUGGGUAUUUUGGCUGCAUGAAUGUCUGUAUAAAAUAUGUGCGUGGCCUGCAGAGGCCAGAGAGGGCAUCAGAUUCUCUGGAGCUGGAGUUACAGUGAAUGUGAGCCUGGCGUUAGCUGUGGGUACUGGGAAUCAAACCCGGAUUCUUAGCAAGAACAGUCAGCGCCCUUAGCCACUGAGCCAUCUUUCCAGCUCCUAUAGCCAACUUUUAAAUGCACAGUCAUUGACCCAACAGUGUCAUAGCUGGUGCUGUCCGAUAAAUACAGAAUACUUGUGGACCAGUAGAAUUGUCCAAUCUAAACUAUGCUGCACUGUAAAAUCUGCUGCUAUUUCAUAAAUUGUUAAUAGCAAAGUGGCGCCUUUUUAACACAGUGCUGUGACCCUGUGCCUUCAUGUUGCUUAUAAUUUUUAUCUUUACUUAUCAAAGUAAUUCUUUUAGGUAAAUGAACAGUUUUCAAUAGUGCAUCUCUUUUGAUGUUUACUACUUUCCCUUCUUUCUGUCAACAUAGUUUUUUCUGCAGGCAAAACAGCAGAAGCCACACUGGGAAAAUGGCUCAGGCCUGUGAGCACAGGGUAUUGGCGAAUGACUUCAUGUGCUCAUUCUUGACUAAACAAAAUAUCUUGUAUUGUUGUUGUUGUUGUUUUGAUACUUAUAAAAUCCUAUCAGUGGGAGGGUUUGACCGAAGCUGAUACAUCCACCUGGUGUGACCACAUAAACAGUCUUCAAAAGGGACGGUUCUGAGGGGGAGAGACCAGUGAGUAUGGAUUGUGACCGUCCCAGACAAUCUGAACCCUAGACACUGGCCACCCUAGACACUGGCCACCUUAAUCAGUCACUGGCCACCCUAGUCACUGAUCACCCUAAUCACUGGCCACCCUAAUCAGUCACUGGCCACCCUAGACACUGGCCACCC